rnacentral:lncRNA from 1 species
CUGAAACAGCAGUGUUAAUGAAACGUAGCGAGGAUGAGGAGAGCUAACAUGGAUUCUAAAAAAUGAGCAAGUGAAAAUGGAGGCCAGUCGGAAAAAAGUGGGUGUGAAAUGUCAAAGUCAGUUCAGAUGACCUUAUUACUUUGACCAAAUUUGAUCAUUAGUAGACACGUAGUCCAUCUUUCCAUCAUUUUUCUUCUGCUCUAUGUGACUUCAGAGUAGAGAGUGACAAAGGAGUGUAUUUUCACUCCUGUCCCAUCCCACUCCCACAGAAAAAAAUCCUGUCCCAUCCCACUCCUGGUGAAAUAACUCCCACUCCCAUUACACUCCCAUUCAGAAUGACUCCCAUUCCUGUACCGCUUCCAUUAUUUAUUAUUAUUAUUAUUGUUAUUUUCUUCUUUUAGGAUUUAGGCAUUACAUUGAAUUUUGUUUAAUUUUUCUUCCCAUUCUUUUUUAGAUAAACUUGAGUUCUACAGUUUUAUUUUUGAAAGAUAUGGCAACAGGAACAGUUUAUCCUUGUUAAUAUUGGGAGGCAUUUAUCACCUUUAUUCAAACAAGCCUUUACUAAAGGGCACAAAACAUAAAUAAUACAUGGCUUGUGGAUCCUAUAGUUUUUCUAUGGAUGAGCAGCAGCUAAGUCCCUGUUUCUAGCCCUUUUGGAGCUCAGUUACAGUAAGAAACAACAAACAAACAAACAAACAAACAAAAAAAACAAAAACAAAAAAACAACAACAUUGCAUGUGUCACACCAUGCCUACCUUAAGAUAAGAUAAGGUACUCCCUUUUUAGUCCCACAAGGGGAAAUUCCCAUAAUGAAACUUUAUUUAGUGUAAUAGAGUUUCAUUUUACUAAUUUAUUGAGCACUGUUUCCUUUGAAUAGAGACGAUAUUUUUAUGCUUUAAAUUGCUUAAAAAAAAAAAAUCUGCUCCAAGCAAGAGAGCUGUCCUCAACAAACAAAAGUGCAUGAAAACAAUUACCUGAAAGUCCUUCCUGUAAACUUUCUGUUGUAAGUCACAUUUUACGACAUGAAUUUCCCCACUGCUGUUAGCUUCUUCCAUUGCUGUUCUCUGAAUCACCAGCGGGAAAUAGCAGCCAGAAGCACAGUUGGAUUCUUGGCGUUGUAGUUCGUUUGACUUACGUUACAGUGUAAGCUUAUUGGAAAAAACUACAAAAUGGUGGUGCCUGUCCCAUGUUUUUUUGUGUCCUAUUGGUUGGCUCCUGCUCCUGUCUGCUAACUUUUUAUAUCUUGUACCAUCCCAAUCACAAGAUCAAUAGUAAAGUUGAUGUGGUGAGACGCCUCCUCUUCUUGCUUUAUUUUGGUUGGAUUCCUGUUGUUUCUUUGUUUCCCUGCUCUGGCUUGACUCUGUUUUAGAGCACCCUCCCCCUCCCUGGUCACUGAGGCUGAGUGAGACUCCACACCUGCACUGCAUCUACAAUCAAGGCCCUUUAAGAAGCCAGCAGCCCUCAGUCUCAGUGCCUGAGUAUUGUCUUCACUCCUGAGUGGUACAGACGCAUCUCCUGGCCUUCUUCGCCUUGGAUAAAUGCUUGUGACUUUUUUGAUCCUUGUGAUUCCUUGCAUGUCUUCUCACUUCCUUUUCCUCUUCUCCACAGUGUCUCCAGCCCACACAACAGCCAGACAGCCAACCGGACUUUCUCUCAUACCUUUUU